rnacentral:lncRNA from 1 species
CAUUUGAUAAAUGAUUUGGUACAUAUAACAUUUCCCCAUUCAUUCACACCAACUCUUUCACUAUGUAGGAAAAUAUGGUUCAUAAUUUCCACUAUUCCUCAAACGAUAAGAUUGAACAUUCGUCCUCUCUCCCAUUCCAUUUUUAAAAAAAAAAUACUCGACAGAAGAAAAAAGUAUACAAUAUCAAAUAUGUAAUGGGAAAAGUGUACUGAGUAGGUGUUCAUAAGUGGUGGAAUGUGGUAGGUAGGUGAACCUUGUGCUUAUAUCUUUGUGGGUUCUCUUCCUACUUGGGUAAUAGGAGUGAAUAUGAGUUAUCUUGGUGUUGGAACUAGUAUUAAUAAUGUUCAUGGAAGUAAUUUGAAGGUAAUUGAUAAGAGAGUUAGGGUUGCAGAGCUGAGUUUAAGGUGUUUGGUAUGUGGUCUAGCCAUUCUUGCUGCCGUUCUUAUUGGAACCGACUCUCAGGUUAAAGUGGGGAAAUACAUCCAAACAGC